AACGAACGCUGGCGGCAGGCUUAACACAUGCAAGUCGAGCGCGUAGCAAUACGAGCGGCAGACGGGUGAGUAACGCGUGGGGAUCUGCCUAGUGGUACGGAACAACUCAGGGAAACUUGAGCUAAUACCGUAUAAGUCCUUCGGGAGAAAGAUUUAUCGCCAUUAGAUGAACCCGCGUCUGAUUAGCUAGUUGGUGAGGUAACGGCUCACCAAGGCGACGAUCAGUAGCUGGUCUGAGAGGAUGAUCAGCCACACUGGGACUGAGACACGGCCCAGACUCCUACGGGAGGCAGCAGUGGGGAAUAUUGGACAAUGGGCGCAAGCCUGAUCCAGCCAUGCCGCGUGAGUGAUGAAGGCCUUAGGGUUGUAAAGCUCUUUCGUCAGGGAAGAUAAUGACGGUACCUGAAGAAGAAGCCCCGGCUAACUUCGUGCCAGCAGCCGCGGUAAUAC
rnacentral:rRNA from 1 species